rnacentral:rRNA from 1 species
GGUACUCAGUUCGGAUUGCAGGCUGCAACCCGACUACAUGAAGCUGGAAUCGCUAGUAAUCGCGGAUCAGAAUGCCGCGGUGAAUACGUUCCCGGGUCUUGUACACACCGCCCGUCACACCAUGGGAGUCGGAAAUGCCCGAAGUCUGUGACCCAACCUUAGGGAGGGGGCAGCCGAAGGCAGGUCGGAUGACUGGGGUGAAGUCGUAACAAGGUACC